rnacentral:tRNA from 1 species
GCCGAUGUAGCUCAGUUGGUAGAGCAAUGCUUUCGUAAAGCAGAGGUCGUGGGUUCGACUCCCACCAUCGGCU